CUCGCAGUAGCUCAGUGGUAGAGCGCGGGUGUGAAGUACCCGGCGUCGGUGGUUCAAAUCCAUCUUGCGAGGCCA
rnacentral:tRNA from 1 species